CAUGGUAAUCAGACUAGUUGAAUAAAGCAAACAGAAAAAGAUUUCAGGAACAUUUCCUCAUUACUUUUCAUGAAAAAUCCAUGAAAGCUCACCGUGAAGUUUGUUUUAGUCAGGUUGAGACCAUUACAAAUGUCCGAAGAAGAAAACCAUUAGUGGAAGAACUAAAAGACAGUAGGUUAACAACCGUAUUUAUGUGGAACAACAGAAUCUAUCCAAAUGAAUUGCAUUGAACCAGCCAAUAUACUCCAAGAAACUGAUCCAGUGACCCACGCUCUGAAGUCAGAAUUAGCUAACUUUCAAAAACAUCUGGAAAAAAUGAAGACAUGGUUAAAAAUUGUACUUGGAGUUGCCACUUCUGCUGUGCUUGCCUUAUUGGUGAUGUGCAUUGUCUUACGUCCUUCAAGAGUUCGUAACUCUGACGGAAGUACAACAAGAGCACUCACACUGAAGGAUAUUUUAAAUGGGACAUUUUCUUAUAAAACAUUUUUUCCAAACUGGAUUUCAGGACAAGAAUAUCUUCGUCAAUCUACAGAUAAUAAUAUAAUAUUUUAUAAUAUUGAAACAAGAGAAUCAUAUACUAUUUUGAGUAAUACCACCAUGAAAAGUGUGAAUGCUUCAAAUUAUGGUUUAUCACCUGAUCGGCAAUUUGCAUAUCUAGAAAGUGAUUAUUCAAAGCUUUGGAGAUACUCUUACACAGCAACGUAUCACAUCUACCACCUUACAAAUGGAGAGUUUAUAAGAAGAAAUGAGCUUCCUCGUCCAAUUCAGUAUUUAUGCUGGUCGCCUGUUGGGAGUAAAUUAGCAUAUGUCUAUCAAAACAAUAUCUAUCUGAAACAAAGACCAGAAGAUCCACCUUUUCAAAUAACAUAUAAUGGAAAAGAAAAUAAAAUAUUUAAUGGAAUCCCAGACUGGGUUUAUGAAGAGGAAAUGCUUGCUACAAAAUAUGCUCUCUGGUGGUCUCCUAAUGCAAAAUUUUUGGCAUAUGCAGAAUUUAAUGAUACAGAGAUACCAGUUAUUGCCUAUUCCUAUUAUGGCGAUGAACAAUAUCCUAGAACAAUAAAUAUUCCAUACCCAAAGGCUGGAGCUAAGAAUCCCAUUGUUCAGAUCUUUAUUGUUGAUGCCAUUUACCCUGAGCAUGUAGGUCCCAGAGAAGUGCCAGUUCCAGCAAUGAUAGCCUCAAGUGAUUAUUAUUUCAGUUGGCUUACAUGGGUUACUGAUGAGCGAAUAUGUUUGCAGUGGCUGAAAAGAAUCCAGAAUGUUUCAGUCUUAUCUAUAUGUGAUUUCAGGGAAGACUGGAAGACAUGGAGCUGUCCAAAGACCCAGGAACAUAUAGAAGAAAGCAGAACUGGAUGGGCUGGUGGAUUCUUUGUUUCAACACCAGUUUUCAGCUAUGAUGCCAUUUCAUACUACAAAAUAUUUAGCGACAAGAAUGGCUACAAACAUAUUCACUAUAUCAAAGACACUGUGGAAAAUGCUAUUCAAAUUACAAGUGGCAAGUGGGAGGCCAUAAAUAUAUUCAGAGUAACACAGGAUUCACUGUUUUAUUCUAGCAAUGAAUUUGAAGGCUACCCUGGAAGACGAAAUAUCUAUAGAAUUAGCAUUGGAAGCUAUCCUCCAAGCAAGAAGUGCAUUACUUGCCAUCUAAGGAGAAAAAGGUGCCAAUAUUACACAGCAAGUUUCAGCGACAAUGCCAAGUACUAUGCACUCGUCUGCUAUGGCCCAGGCCUCCCGAUUUCCACCCUUCAUGACGGCCACACUGAUCAAGAAAUUAAAAUCCUGGAAGAAAACAAGGAAUUGGAAAAUGCUUUGAAAAAUAUCCAGCUGCCUAAAGAGGAAAUUAAGAAACUUGAAGUGGAUGAUAUUACUUUAUGGUACAAGAUGAUUCUUCCUCCUCAGUUUGACAGAUCAAAGAAGUAUCCCUUGCUAAUUCAAGUGUAUGGUGGUCCCUGCAGUCAGAGUGUAAGGUCUGUAUUCUCUAUUAGUUGGAUAUCUUAUCUUGCAAGUAAGGAAGGGAUAGUCAUUGCCUUGGUGGAUGGUCGAGGAACAGCUUUCCAAGGUGACAAACUUCUGUAUGCAGUGUAUCGAAAGCUGGGUGUUUAUGAAGUUGAGGACCAGAUCACAGCUGUCAGAGAAAGGAAGAUGGACCAGAGGCAGCAAUUGGCUACGUUUACCUUCUCUGAGCCAUUUUUAGGAUGGAACCUGAAGAAUGUCUUUCUACUAUAGAUCAGGCAUAUGUUCACCCAUUGACUCAGCCAUUCAAGAACAGAUGAAAUAUUAGUAUAUGCUAUAACAAUACUCUGUAUAAAAUUGUGCAAUUUACAAUCUUAACAUUCAGUGUACUUACAGUUUUUGAAGAGUGAAUAAACCACAUGCACUCAAGGGAACACGGCUAUUAGAUGGAACUUUUUGUAUUCACCUUAGUGAACAGGGGCAGCUGUACGGCAAAGCACAUAUACAACAGUGGAGAUGCCAGUUGGGACUGGCCUUGGCUUUGCUUGAAACCAUUAUUCUGCAAAAGGGAAAGGGAAGCCUUGAAACCCUAUGCUUUGAGAAAACAAAAGCUAAAAGAAUAGACUUAUAGAGAUAAUUCUAGAAAUAAUUCAAUCACAUAUCUUCCUGUGAAGUGUUUUAGGAAUCAGACACUGAAUGUCUGACUUGAGGAAUUGGGAUUGUAAUUCCUCUAUGGUAGUCCUCAAUUACCUCCCCUCAAAGAAUGAAAUAUUUCCCUGGAAUCUAAAUAUUUCCCUGGAAUCUCUUAUGGAAUGCAAUCUGGCUAAAUUUUUUAUAUACCAAAAAAAAUCAUAAGUACAUAUUUGGAAACAACAGUAAAUACUAGUCAGGUUCAAGAAACAGACUUAAGCAGAACAAAGCAGGAAAAAAAGAGAAGCCCUACAACCGCACAAAUUUUGACUAUACAUAAGAGAAAGCCCCAAAGGAUAUGCUUGUGAGGUCAAAGCUUAAGUAAAACUGAGACCUGCUUUCUUCAGGCUCCUCUGCAAGUGGUUCAUAGGUGAGACCCUUAAAAUUUCAGUUAUAGGAUCAAAUCUGCUCAUUUGGGGUAGGUUUGGAAUUUUUGACAUUCCCACAAUUUUGAAAUUUUAUAUAACUUCAGGGUUAGCAGUAAAGAAGGAUUAUAUGAGAAAAAAAUAUAUCAUACUGUUAUACAUGGUAUCAAUUAGAACAUUUCCAAAACAGAAUAAUAGUAAUUGAUUACUAAGGUUUCGAACUGACCUUAGAUUUAGGGCAUUUUUAUGAGAGAAAAGUUGUAAAGUCCAGUCCAGCCUCCAAAAUUAGAAAAAAUGCUUUUUCACUUGCUAUUAACAUUUUGUUGAUUUAACCACGUUGUCAACAGUAUCUUUGAUAACCCUCCUGGAAGCUCUUCAGAAUUUGGAGGUAAAUUUUAUAGAGGCCGUUGGUCUCAGAUUAUCGAGCUAACCUUUAACCUAGUCUUUCCACAGUAAGUGUUAAUGUUUCAUUUCCAUGUUAACUAUUGCACUAUCAUUUCCUGUAAAUGUCAUCCUUUCGGAAUAAACCUAGGAAGGGAGCUGUUAAGAAUUUCCUGUUCCCAUGUAUCACCUGUUAUUUGCUUUUACCCCAGAUGCAAGGCAAUAUGAUUGCUAGCUUCUGGGAGAUCAUAAAAUCACGAUUGAUUUUAUGGCUCAGAACUGGCUUCAAGCACUAGCGGCAAGAUUAUUUUUUUGGACAAAGAAAGUGAACCUUCUUUUCUUUCACUUGGCUUUUGAGUUUGUGGGAGAAUUGCCGAAAUGCCACAGUUUGCUGCCCGUUUUCUCUAGUUUACUGUGACCAAGCAGCAGCACAGGUAGCAACUCUCCGUUUGCUACUGCGUUUCUCCCCUGUACACUCCUCAGUGUCCCUCAGAAUCAGUGUCGAGUAAGCUGUGACUGACGGGGCUUCUUCCCAUCUGUCUGUGCCGGGCAUCUGCCCAACUCCUCUAUGCAUCAGAAACAUGCAUUUUGAAUCCAUGCAACGAGCAAAAUGGUUGCUGUGAAAUCCCUUUAAGAAAUUCCAUUAUUUAACUAAUGCAAAUCACUCGGUCCUUGUUCCAGAGAAGAAUGAGGAAGGGCAUUAACGUCACUUAAGGCAACCAAAAAAAAUAGUAUUUUUCUGGGGUCAUGAGUGUCACUUUUGUCUCUUCCCCUCUUUUCCUUCACUGUCCCAUCCAGGACUCUAUAACGGCUCAUCGACUUUGCUUUUUUCUUCCACUGCUUCUGCUUCUCUAAGAGUUUCUUGAGUUUUUAUUAAAACGUUCCCCAAAUAAAUCACAAUUGCUCUAGAACACCAACCAUCAAGGAAGCAUGGAAUAAAUUAGCCUAAAACACUCCCUUUUUGUACCAAUGACGUAGUUAGAUUUCUGAGGGCUUCCCAGGACUUUUUGAAGGUUGUCUUUCAGCAUGGUCCAUUUCUCCUAAGGAUAGAUUUAUUUUCAAACUCAUUUUUAAAUGGAGCCUCUUCUGUGAGGGAAAUUGAAUGAAUAAUGUUCAUAUCCUGAAAGAUGCAUACAAUUGUUCAAACCAUGAUGAACUGAGGGUACCUAAGUGUGAAAUGGGAGAGGGAUGGAUAUUUUUCCAUGGAUGGAUGUGACCAAAAAUGAGACAGUGAUUAUAAUGCAUGUCAACCUAAAUAAAAGGCUAAAACAAGGCAAGCUCAAAAUUGUCAAAAAAUGAGUUUAUUCAGGAAUAGCAGAGGAAUUGAAAUUCUGGACUCACAGACUGUAGCAAGCUAUAGGCCCAUCCAUUGAGGGUUUGGGGAAGGCUGUAUUUAUAGGGAGGGAAUGAAAGAGGGGAGAGUUCAGUGAGAGUCUAUUAAAAUCGAAACAAACAGAGACCAGCUUUGACUACUCCCUGGGCAGACAAAACCAAUCCCAUCCUACAAACAAAGCUCAAUUCAGCAUAUUUUGAGAAACCAACCCAACUUGGGUCAUUUCUUGUUCACGCCUCUGGAAACCAUAAGCAAAACUUCCCAAGGUUGAUAUGAGGCAACCCCUGACCAACUCCUUAUCAUUUAAGAAAAUUUCAAUAUGACCAGUUUUAUGGAAAUCAGGCAUAUAUGGAAAUCAGUCUCUCAGUCCUGAGGGCACUUGUGUGCGAUUUUUCAUUUAUAUUCUUCAGUCCCACUUUAGGUUGAAAUUCUUUUACAUUAACAUCUAAGCAAACAAAAUCAUAAGAAAUUAAUAAAUUUUAAAACAGCAAUAAUGAAACCCUUUUUUCCAAAAGCUGGAGAUUUGGAAAUUUUGUCCUAGUCAUGGUGCUAUUACUUCUGGUGUUACUAUGAGCCAGUCUCUCUUUUUUUUUCUUUACAAUAUCUUAAGUGCAUUUAAUAGUAAACUCAAAAACAUGUGGCUAUAGUGUUAGGACCUGAGUUAACCAUUUGCCUGUUCACUGCAUUAAAAAACAUUUUCCCCUUUCAGUCUAUUCUCAUUUGCUGAAUAUGAGCCUGUCUCUUAACCUGAGUCCCAAGUAACUCACCAGCACAGUUAGGGUAGGAGGCCUUACAGACCUGAAAGUAUUACUCAAUAGAUGUACCAUAGAGUCUAAAGGAUCCUUUUAUCCCUUGCAGUAAGCAUGAUAAUAUUCUUUUAACUAUUUGUAAAUGCAGCCUUAUUAUGCAAGUGUUUAAACAAAGAAAAUGUAGCGUUUCUAUUAAAUCAUUGGAUUAAAUAUGCUUGUGUAAUGAAGUAAAUGUCAUGUGUACGCACUUAAAAUUCUAAAAAUUUGUUUCUUUUACUUUAGAAAAUUCAUAGAAAUGGGUUUCAUUGAUGAAAAAAGAAUAGCCAUAUGGGGCUGGUCCUAUGGAGGUUAUGUUUCAUCGCUGGCCCUUGCUUCAGGAAGUGGUCUUUUCAAAUGUGGAAUAGCAGUGGCUCCAGUCUCCAGCUGGGAAU